AUUGAACGCUGGCGGCAGGCUUAACACAUGCAAGUCGAGCGGAGAUGAGGUGCUUGCACCUUAUCUUAGCGGCGGACGGGUGAGUAAUGCUUAGGAAUCUGCCUAUUAGUGGGGGGCAACAUUCCGAAAGGAAUGCUAAUACCGCAUACGUCCUACGGGAGAAAGCAGGGGAUCUUCGGACCUUGCGCUAAUAGAUGAGCCUAAGUCGGAUUAGCUAGUUGGUGGGGUAAAGGCCUACCAAGGCGACGAUCUGUAGCGGGUCUGAGAGGAUGAUCCGCCACACUGGGACUGAGACACGGCCCAGACUCCGCCGGGGGGCAGCAGGGGGGAAUAUUGGACAAUGGGGGGAACCCUGAUCCAGCCAUGCCGCGUGUGUGAAGAAGGCCUUAUGGUUGUAAAGCACUUUAAGCGAGGAGGAGGCUACUGAGACUAAUACUCUUGGAUAGUGGACGUUACUCGCAGAAUAAGCACCGGCUAACUCUGUGCCAGCAGCCGCCGUAACAC
rnacentral:rRNA from 1 species